rnacentral:rRNA from 1 species
AUUGAACGCUGGCGGCAGGCCUAACACAUGCAAGUCGAGCGAGCGGCGGACGGGUGAGUACUGUAUGGGGACUGCCCGCUAGCGGGGGGUAACUACUGGAAACGGUAGCUAAUACCGCAUACUAUCGGAUAACCCAUAUGGGAUUAGCUAGUAGGUGGGGUAAUGGCUCACCUAUGCGACGAUCCCUAGCUGGUCUGAGAGGAUGAUCAUCCACACUUGGACGUAUACAGGGCCCAGACUCCAACGGAGGCAGCAUAAGGGAAUAUGGCACAAUGGGCGCAAGCGUUAUGCAGCCAUGUAGCUUGUAAGAAGAAGGCCUUAGGGUUUUAAAGUACUUUCAGUCGGAAGGCGUGACCGACAGAAGAAGCACCGGCUAACUCCGUGCCAGCAGCCGCGGUGAUUC